AGUGAACGCUGGCGGUAGGCCUAACACAUGCAAGUCGAACGGCAGCACAGUAAGAGCUUGCUCUUACGGGUGGCGAGUGGCGGACGGGUGAGGAAUACAUCGGAAUCUACUUUUUCGUGGGGGAUAACGUAGGGAAACUUACGCUAAUACCGCAUACGACCUACGGGUGAAAGCAGGGGAUCUUCGGACCUUGCGCGAUUGAAUGAGCCGAUGUCGGAUUAGCUAGUUGGCGGGGUAAAGGCCCACCAAGGCGACGAUCCGUAGCUGGUCUGAGAGGAUGAUCAGCCACACUGGAACUGAGACACGGUCCAGACUCCUACGGGAGGCAGCAGUGGGGAAUAUUGGACAAUGGGCGCAAGCCUGAUCCAGCCAUACCGCGUGGGUGAAGAAGGCCUUCGGGUUGUAAAGCCCUUUUGUUGGGAAAGAAGAGCAGCAGGUUAAUACCCCGCUGUUCUGACGGUACCAAAAGAAUAAGCACCGGCUAACUUCGUG
rnacentral:rRNA from 1 species